UUCAGGUGUGAGAUUCAGGUGCCCAGGUGUGAGGUGCAGGUGCCCAGGUGUGAGGUGCAGGUGCACAGCUGUGGGGUGCAGGUGCACAGCUGUGGGGUGCAGGUGACACCUGGGGCCCUCGGGGCUGGGGGGGGGGGGGGGGGGGGGGGGGGGGGGGGGGGGGGGGGGGGGGGGGGCCCAGGUGCCACAGUGCCCCAGGUACACCUGAGACAGGUGACAGGAGGUGCCCCAGGUACACCUGAGACAGGUGCCACAGUGACCCAGGUGACAGGAGGUGCCCCAGGUACACCUGAGACAGGUGACAGGAGGUGCCCCAGGUACACCUGAGACAGGUGGGGGGGGGGGGGGGGGGGGGGGGGGGGGGGGGGGGGGGGGGGGGGGGGGGGGGGGGGGGGGGGGGGGGGG
rnacentral:lncRNA from 12 species